UGUUAAAAAUUUCAUCCAUUUCUACUAGUAAAAAUUGGUCCCUGUACGUCAGAAUGAGGUGCAUGUGACAUUCCAGGUGUAAUUGUUUGGUUAUUCUGUCAGCCACACUAUUCCACACUAUUUUUUAACGGUAGAAAUGGAUGAAAUUUUAGCCA
rfam:Gossypium arboreum cultivar AKA8401 contig_6772_1, whole genome shotgun sequence.